rnacentral:rRNA from 1 species
GACAGAGGUCCCAAGCGUUAGGCGGAAUCACUGGGCUUAAAGCGUGUGUAGGCGGAUUUGUAAGUACCUUGUGAAAUCCCACGGCUCAACCGUGGAACUGCUUGGUAUACUGCUUAUCUUGGGCCAUCUAGGGGCUACCGGAACAAGUGGUGGAGCGGUGAAAUGCGUGGAUAUCACUUGGAACGCCAAUGGUGAAAACAGGUAGCUGGGGAUGUGCCGACGCUGAGACACGAAAGCCAGGGGAGCGAACGGG